UACGGGGGGAGCAAGCGUUGUUCGGAUUUACUGGGCGUAAAGGGCGCGUAGGCGGCGUGACAAGUCACUUGUGAAAUCUCCGGGCUUAACCCGGAGCGGCCAAGUGAUACUGUCGUGCUAGAGUGCGGAAGGGGCAACUGGAAUUCUCGGUGUAGCGGUGAAAUGCGUAGAUAUCGAGAGGAACACCUGCGGCGAAGGCGGGUUGCUGGGCCGACACUGACGCUGAGGCGCGAAAGCCAGGGGAGCGAACGGG
rnacentral:rRNA from 1 species